UAAUACGUAGGGGGCAAGCGUUGUCCGGAUUUAUUGGGCGUAAAGAGCGUGUAGGCGGUUUUACAGGUCCGCUGUGAAAACUCGAGGCUCAACCUCGAGCUGUCGGUGGAAACCGUAAGGCUAGAGUCCGGAAGAGGAGAGUGGAAUUCCUGGUGUAGCGGUGAAAUGCGCAGAUAUCAGGAAGAACACCCGUGGCGAAGGCGGCUCUCUGGGACGGUACUGACGCUGAGACGCGAAAGCGUGGGGAGCGAACAGGAUUAGAUACCCUGGUAGUCCACGCCGUAAACGAUGGGUGCUAGGUGUGGGGGGUGUCGACUCCCCCCGUGCCGAAGCUAACGCAUUAAGCACCCCGCCUGGGGAGUACGGCCGCAAGGCUA
rnacentral:rRNA from 1 species